GAUCCUGGCUCAGGAUGAACGCUGGCGGCGUGCUUAACACAUGCAAGUCGAACGAGGAAUUUCAAAUGAGGCUUCGGCGGAUUUUAAAAUUCUUAGUGGCGGACGGGUGAGUAACGCGUGGGCAACCUGCCCUGUACAGGGGGACAACAGCUGGAAACGGCUGCUAAUACCGCAUAAGCGCACAGCAUCGCAUGAUGCCGUGUGAAAAACUCCGGUGGUACAGGAUGGGCCCGCGUUGGAUUAGG
rnacentral:rRNA from 1 species